UGCAGUCGAACGGUAGAGGAGCAUCCUCGAGAGUGGCGAACGGGUGAGUAAUACAUCGGAACGUGCCCAGUCGUGGGGGAUAACGUAGCGAAAGCUACGCUAAUACCGCAUACGACCCGAGGGUGAAAGCGGGGGACUCGCAAGAGCCUCGCGCGAUUGGAGCGGCCGAUGGCAGAUUAGGUAGUUGGUGGGGUAAAGGCCCACCAAGCCUGCGAUCUGUAGCUGGUCUGAGAGGACGACCAGCCACACUGGGACUGAGACACGGCCCAGACUCCUACGGGAGGCAGCAGUGGGGAAUUUUGGACAAUGGGCGAAAGCCUGAUCCAGCCAUACCGCGUGCGGGAAGAAGGCCUUCGGGUUGUAAACCGCUUUUGUCAGGGAAGAAAUACUUCGGGCUAAUACCCUGGGGUGAUGACGGUACCUGAAGAAUAAGCACCGGCUAACUACGUGCCAGCAGCCGCGGUAAUACGUAGGGUGCAAGCGUUAAUCGGAAUUACUGGGCGUAAAGCGUGCGCAGGCGGUUCUAUAAGACAGAUGUGAAAUCCCCGGGCUCAACCUGGGAACUGCAUUUGUGACUGUAGAGCUAGAGUACGGUAAAGGGGGGAUGGGAUUCCGCGUGUAGCAGUGAAAUGCGUAGAUAUGCGGAGGAACACCGAUGGCGAAAGCAAUCCCCUGGACCUGUACUGACGCUCAUGCACGAAAGCGUGAGGAGCAAACGGGAUUAGAUACCCUGGUAGUCCACGCC
rnacentral:rRNA from 1 species